ensembl:snoRNA LOC120103280 small nucleolar RNA SNORA21
CCCCUUUUAAAAGCACUCCGUGGGCCUUUUGCUAAUGACCUGCUGAGCCGUCAAGAAGGGGCAGAGUUAAAACACCACUUUUGGGUGAAGUGGCAACUUGUUGUGUUGUUUAACUUCAAUCAGUGAUGUGACAAGA